rnacentral:lncRNA from 1 species
GCGUAACCAUCAUACCAUUCUCUAUAAUAUAUAGAAAUAAGGCUGCAAUUAAAGUACCAAGCAAGUACAAACGGAGGACACAAACUCUUUAUUUUCAUUGAUAAAUGAAGGUUACCAAAGUCUUAAGUAGUAUGAUCUUACUAACCAGCUCUCAAUUUGCGCAAACCUUAUUUCCUGAUAUUUAUCUAUCAUAACCUUAUUUAACCAUUAUAUAUCUUCCUUUUUCGGAUUUGUGAUCAAGCUUUUUCCGCCCUCCUUCUGGCCGGCCUUGCCGAAGCAAGGUCAGUAGCAGAGGGCACUGUCCCCCUCCUCCUAGAUGGUCUUGCCGAAGCAAGGCCAAUGGUAGCGGCUAGCAUCGCCCUCCUCUUGACCGGCCUUGCCAAACACAUAAUAAUUGAAGAGGCUAGCAUCGGCCUCCUCCUCAUGGCCCUUGCCGAACACAUAAUAGUUGAAGAGGCUGGCAUCGGCCUCCUCCUCGUGGCCCUUGCAGAACACAUAAUAGUUGAAGAGGCUCGCAUCGUCCACCUCCUGACCAGCCUUGCCGAACACAUAAUAGUUGAAGAGGCUAGCAUCGCCCUCCUCCUCAUGGCCCUUGCCGAACACAUAAUAGUUGAAGAGGCUAGCAUCGCCCUCCUCCUGGCCGGCCUUUCCGAACACAUAAUAGUUGAAGAGGCUCGCAUCUCCCUCCUCCUCAUGGCCCUUUCCGAACACAUAAUAGUUGAAGAGGCUCGCAUCUCCCUCCUCCUCAUGGCCCUUUCCGAACACAUAAUAGUUGAAGAGGCUCGCAUCGCCCACCUCCUGACCGGCCUUUCCGAACACAUAAUAGUUGAAGAGGCUCGCAUCUUCCUCCUCCUCAUGGCCCUUUCCUAACACAGGCCAGUGGUAGUGGCUAGCGUCGCCCUUUCGAGAGACAGGACCAACAAACGACUUGGUUGUCGUAUUUUUCUCGGCGGGAAAGACGAGAGUUUUGGAGUUGGAUACGCGAGCAACUGCCGACGAUGCUACCAUCGGCGGUCUGGUU